UACGUAGGGGGCUAGCGUUGUCCGGAAUCAUUGGGCGUAAAGAGCGCGUAGGCGGCCCGGUAAGUCCGCUGUGAAAGUCAAAGGCUCAACCUUUGAAUGUCAGCGGAUACUGCCGGGCUAGAGUCCGGAAGAGGCGAGUGGAACUCGUGGUGUAGCGGUGGAAUGCGCAGAUACCAGGAAGAACACCAACGGCGAAGGCAGCUCGCUGGGACGGAACUGACGCUAAGGCGCGAAAGCGUGGGGAGCGAACAGG
rnacentral:rRNA from 1 species